rnacentral:rRNA from 1 species
ACUAAGAGUUUUCCACGAGUUCGAGAAGAGAUGAGACUAAAGGAUCCAGAAAAGAAGUACCCACACAGGGCUGUCUUAUACAUGCAUACACAUAAGCACAAAAGCGACAAGAAUAUGAAUGAACAAGUGGUUGAUUUGAAGAAGCGUAUAGCGGAGAAUCCAGCUUUAGUAGAUACUAGUAGAGGAAAGACAGCAUGGAAGGGAGAUGUUUUGAAUGCGGUACUUGGCGCAGACAAGCCUGGACAUAUACAUGGCCUGGGACGGGUUCCGAAUCCAAAUCAAGUCUUUGAUGUGUCAGCUUCACGCCACUUUCAGAAUAUACACCUUAGUUCAUUGGAGGAU